GAGGCUUGGGGCGGCUCUUAUUAUGCCUUAUGGUGGACUUAAAUCCCAAAAUACACAGCCAUUGGGGCGACCAUACAUCCUCUUUUGCCCGGGCAUGUCCUCUUUUUGGGGGGCUGUCUAGACUUGUCUGGUCUUGUCCGGGGGAGUUUAUAAAACCCUUCAAAUGUCCGGGGUUUUAUAUGAAAGUUUUGAGUUUGAGUCGCGUGGACUUACCGAGUUAGAAGCGCAUAAAAGACACUCAAUCUGACUCGUAAAACUUGCUUUUUGUGACUAGUCGUGUCUUCUUUUUAGGGGAUUCAGAAUAUGGUCACCCUACAAUGUACCACCAUGUACGAUUGUGCAAAGAUGGACAAAUGGGAGGGUUGUAAUUAAUCUGGUGCCAAGCAUUGACAACAAAAGGUUUUCAAUUGUGCCAAAAAUCUCACUUCACAAGGUUCAUAACUCAAAACAAAAAAGGGAGAAAGAGAAUGCAGAGUGACACUGAGAUUUCAGAUGCAGCCUUCGUGUCAUGUUUGCAAGACAUCCAAAGACGACAGGCAAAGCAGAGUCCAAUGCUACACCGACCUCUUUCUCUCUCUCUCUCAAUGCUGCAUGUAAAUCUACGUCUUCACAGCCACAAAGUCGAAGACAAAUCGCAGCUGGUAGCCUGAUAUAAACCCGUUUACACUUGUGCUUCUAAUAUCACUAACACUAACAUGUGACUUAUUUACAUGACAUGCAAGCUAACUGAGGCUCACAUUGAAUGGCCUUAUACAAGAACGACAUACUUAAUAUUUGUGAAGGUGGCACAACAAUAGUAUUCACCAAACUGUGGAGGAGGAAGGAUUUUCUGUACAUGUAUUUCAGAAUACGGUUAAAGGAAUCAAACCUUUCCCGUUGGGCUGGAAUCAUUAUGUUCACCUGAGGUGGCUUUUCUUUAAGACAAUCUAACCUUUAAGACGCUGUGACCUACAGAAUCCAGCUGCAUCAGCUGAUCCAUGAAGCACUCUGCCUCUCGCGCUGUAUCCGGGAAGAUGAGAGCGAGCGCUCUGCUGUGCAUGUUGAUGAAGUCGGGCUGUGACUGGGGACCUCCUCAUUAAGGUGUUAAUUGGAUUGGUUACCUGCACUGUCCCUUUCUGCCCUGGGCAGUGUGUGCUCCUGCGUGUGUGUGAAGAUGUGUGUGCGCACAUGUGUGGAGGUGUAUGCAUUAGUGAAAAAUCAAGAGAUAGAGGCAGAAGCCAAAAGACAUGCGGGGUGAUGGGGUGGGAUCUGGGGAAGCAUCAGCUCUCUUUGGGGAGAGGGGUGAAUCAAAAACAGACGUGCGUUUUGAUGAGAUGUUAUUUGAUUUCUGAUUGAUACAAGACCCCCUCUAAUUGGUCUGUGCUGCCAGAGCGAUGGCUCCCAGGCACAGCUGUCACCGCAUCACAUUUAUGCUGAUACGUCCGUGCAUCAUCAAUGACCUUUUUGAAAAUGAAGGCCGGCCCUACAGAAAGCUGUCAUGUUGAACAGAGGAGGAGAUGACGGCCGGGUGACAGAAAUCAAGUUACCAACCUGAUCUACGCGUCACAAUUUAUUUUCCCGUACAAAUCUGGUCUUUAUUAAAACAGGCCACAAAGGACGACAAGUAUUCCAUCCAGGUGUGAGAGUUGAUAAUAACUUUAAAAUCGAGCUGCCGCUUCAGACUUCGAUGCAUGAUUUCAACCCGCUGAGGGGGAUUGUGGGGUUUUAUUUUCUCAUUAUUGGGACUAAGCUUUUCCUAAAGAUGUCAUUUUUGUCGAACGUUGAAGUUUUUCUUCUACAGCUGAUCAAAGAUUUUAACGUUCCUGUUCAAAAA